CACUGUACCUCCCCAGCUCUCCUGACCCUCCCCACCUCAAUUAUCCCUUCCCUAGCUCUCCUGUUCUUCCCCAGCUCCUCUGUGCCUCCCCCAGCUCUGUGAUCUCUCCCAAGUUCUCCUGCAUUGUCUCCUUGGGAAAGUGCCUCUCACCAUUGGAUAAUGGCUUCCGUUUUAGGGUGCUUUCCCAGGAUCCUCUGUCUGAUGCAUCCUGGUGCAUGCUGUGUUGACUGAGUGUCUUCUGGGUAGUAGGAAUGGAGAUGCAGGUCCCAUAGUGCAUAGCAUGGGACCUGUUGUGGUUGGGGAGGCUGGGGCAGGCACCUGCUGGCUGUCCUGGGGACCACCGCUGAUUGGUACUUGCUGGAAUCAGAGCUGGCACUAGGCAGUUCACGGUCCUGAUUCCAUGCCAUUGGCACAACCUUGCAGGGCAGUGUCUUUUCCUUCAUGUUACAGGUGAGGCAGCAGGCCGGCACCCUGCCCACAACCACAUAGAGGGCCCAGGCUUGUCUGACGCCUCAGGCUGUGCUCUCUCCAGCUCACUGCGGUGCCUCUCCCAGAUUCGGGCACACUCUGGUGUAACCUGCUUCGCUCGUUCGCGGGAUGGGUGGUGAGCAUGGAGCCCAUUUUCCCAUGUGGCAUUUCAGCAACAGGACUUGGCUAUUUGAAACUCCCCAGACAUAGCAGGAUUUAAAAAACGGAUCCCCUCUGGCUGGGCAUUUAGGUUGCUUUCACUUCUGGGCUGCUAUAAACAGCCUGCAGUUACUGCCUCAGGACGCCUUUCUGGAAGAUUCUUCUGCAGCACACACACUGCCUCCUCUGAAGUGUCCUGGCUGCAUGUGCUGCUCUCCUUGCCCUGGGCUGCCCUCUUCUCCCUGGUGUCAUGAGUAUCUGCUGACCUUCUGCUUCUCCCAUGACAGAGUGCCUUCCUUCUCUUCCUUCUCUGCCUUGGCCUCCAGCACGUAGUAGGCGCCUAGGAAAUGUUUUCCAGCAGAACGAGCCAUCUCCUGGCUGGUUUAGCAGUGUGGGAUUGUGUGGUGUUUCUAUUAGUCUCCAUGAACAAGUGCCACUGUGUUAUUAAAUUUUUCCAAAAGCAGAA
rnacentral:lncRNA from 1 species